UAAGGAAUAUUGGUCAAUGGGCGGAAGCCUGAACCAGCCAUGCCGCGUGCAGGACGACUGCCCUAUGGGUUGUAAACUGCUUUUGUUCAGGAAUAAACCUAAAUACGUGUAUUUAGCUGAAUGUACUGGAAGAAUAAGGAUCGGCUAACUCCGUG
rnacentral:rRNA from 1 species